UCUCCCUUAUCGGGAGAGACUAAUAUUUUAGCACCGAAGGAGCAACCACCCCGGAAACUCUCAGGUAAACUGGACCGAUAAUGGCAU
rnacentral:ncRNA from 2 species